rnacentral:lncRNA from 1 species
CAAAAGUUCAAAAAUUGCAAAUCAUAACCAACUGCUCACUUCACUCGGACCAAAAAAAGCUUUUUAACGGCCCCCCUUUCUUUCGACCUUUUUUCUUUUAGCUGCUCCUCUUCUUUCAACUACACCAUUUUUUUUUUGUUUUUGGUUUUGCCUUUCUAUCACGACGUUACAUAUUAAAAACUGUGUCAUGUUUUAUAUAUAUAUAUAUAUAAGCAAACACUUGGUUCCUUUUAAUUAAAGAGAAGAGAAGAUGAUUGUGGCAGUUGGUGAUAAAGUGAGGAUAGUAGUAAGGGAAUUCGACGGCAAGAAAGAUUGUAGGGAAGUGGAAGAGGUAGAGAGAAGUUGUGAAGUUGGGCCCACCGGCAAACUCUCUCUUUUCACUGACCUUCUAGGUGACCCUAUUUCCAGAGUUCGCCAUUCUCCUGCCUUUCUCAUGCUGGUAUACAAUAUGAAUUUCAUUACUAUUGAACUGCACUCAUUGACCAUUGUAUGUCAUAGUUUAAUUCUUGAUUAUCUCAUUUACAUUGAUGAUCAGGUAGCAGAGAUGGUGGUAAGUAAUGUUGGAGAAGAAAAAGGAGAAAUAGUAGGGAUGAUAAGGGGCUGUAUCAAAACCGUUACAUGUGGAAAGAGAGUCUGCAGGAACAAUCACGAUUUCACCAAACUACCUCAUCAACACCUCCCUGUUUUCACUAAUAUUGCCUAUAUUUUAGGCCUUCGUGUCUCUCCUUUUCACCGGUAACUACAUUUCUAUCGUCUAAUUAAUAGUAAUACGUAUAUUUCUCAUCAUCAAGUUUGUUCUGCUUUUUGUUUUAAUUUACAAAAGACCAAUUAUUGUUUAGUAUUUGCCGAAAUCAGACACAUUCUAACUUGUCCUGUUUUCUUUAUAUAUAAUAUAAUAGUAGUUGACUCUCCACUUAUUGUUUAGUACUAGUAUAUAGUUACAGAGUCAACUACUAUUAUUUACUAUUUAUUUUUUGUUUUUAACAACCCAGCGGUGGUAUGGUAGUGCAUAUGCAAACCUUACUUCUACCCUGAGAUAGAGAGGUUGUUUCCGAUACACCCUUGGCGUCCCUCCUUCCAAGAAUUCUCCACCUUACUCUUGGGAUAACUCAAACUCACAAUCUCUUGGUAGUGAGUUCUCGGAGGGAGGGAUGCCGAGGGUCUAUCGGAAACAGCCUCUCUAACUCAGGGUAGAGAUAAGGUAUGUGUACACACUACUCUCCUCAUACCCCACUGGUGGAAUUAUACUGGUUUGUUAAAAAAAAUAGUAGUUGACUCUCUAACUAUAUACUAAUAUUAUAAAGUUGUUUAUAGCAUCAUAAAUUCUUAUGAGUAUUUAAGUAAUACAUUAGUAUUACCUAUGUAAAGUAAUUUUAUAUACAAUUUAACAUGUUGCACAAGUAUUUGAGCAUCGGUGCACUCAUAAAAAUGUACCUGAAGUUAUUUUUAUGAAUAAUUGGAUUAUAUAAAUAUUUUUAUCGUUAGUCUAUAAAAAUUAUACUCAACCAAAAUUAACAAAUCCUAUGUCAUUUUAAUCAGGAGAAAGGGCAUUGGGUUGAAAUUGGUGCGCAAGAUGGAGGAAUGGUUCAGGGAAAAUGGUGCUGAAUAUUCAUACAUAGCUACUGAAAACGAUAACCAUGCUUCUGUAAAACUCUUCACACACAAAUGUGGCUACACCAAGUUCCGUACCCCAUCCAUUCUAGUGCAGCCAGUUUUUGCACACAAAGUCAAGAUAUCAAGAAAUGUCGCUAUAAUUAAGCUCAGCCCAGUUGAAGCUGAAACUCUAUAUCGCCAUAAAUUCUCCACCACAGAAUUUUUCCCUAAAGACAUUGAUUCAAUCCUCAACAAUAAACUCAAUUUGGGUACUUUUCUAGCAAUUCCAAAGGGUAAUUUUUCAUGUUGGAAUGGUGUGAAUGAGUUUUUAACGAGUCAGCCCGAGUCAUGGGCUGUACUCAGUGUGUGGAACUGUAAGGACGUGUUCAAACUCGAGGUGCGAGGCGCAUCCAGAAUUACAAGGGGCUUAGCUAAGACGAGUCGUUUAAUGGACCGGGCUUUUCCAUGGCUUAAGGUUCCGUCAGUGCCGGAAGUUUUCAGGCCCUUUGGGCUUCAUUUUUUAUAUGGGCUUGGUGGUGAAGGCCCAUUAUCUGUGAAGUUAAUUAAGGCCCUUUGUGAUUUUGCCCAUAACUUAGCUGGAGAAUCGCGGUGUGGGGUGGUGGUGACAGAAGUAGCAAGUUGCGAACCGCUUAAGUUAGGAAUUCCUCACUGGAAAAGGCUAUCUUGCGCCGAGGACUUAUGGUGCAUCAAAAGAUUAGGGGAAGACUAUAGUGACGGGUCUGUGGGUGAUUGGACUAAAUCAAAGCCUGGUCUUUCUAUUUUUGUUGAUCCCAGGGAAUUUUAACUUUUAAUUGACAAUAUCUUGUGUUUUUUAUUAGGGAAUCUAAUUUAGAUGUCAAUUUUUCCUUUUCUGGAUUAACUUUAUGUGAUUGCAGAAUUAGAGGAGAAUAAGGAAAAUAUGGUUGUACAACUCUUUUUUAUUGUCGUUGAUGUAAAGGGGGAAUUGAAAUAUCCCUUUUGUUUUAUGUAAAUGGAUCAUGUAUGUGACCUUUCUUUACAUCCCCUCUUUCAUAUUCAUAAUAAUAUGGUGGAUUUUUGUUAUAUUGGGAUUCUAUCUCUUGACUUUGCAUAUCCUUAUUUUUAAAGGAUAAGACCGUAAAUGAUUGAAAGAUUUAUUUCUCAAUCAAUUUCUCAGAAUAUAGUCCUAGAAAUCAAUUUUUUUUUUAUUUGAGAAUAAGAAAAAAUGAAUAAGAAAGGAGCUUGAGUCCUGUAUAGUAAUAGCAUAACAAAUCUCUCGUAUUCAUGUCAUUUAUAAGGUAGUUACAAUUUCAUAUUCAUGUCACUUAUUUAUAAAGUAUUUACAAAUACAUUGUUGAUUAUAAUACAUUAAAUUACAGAGUUCGUUGUUCAGAUAGUCACUCAACUUUCCGAAAUUAUCUACCAAAGUCAUUUUUUCACUUAACUAUGUCUAUAGCACUUGAAGGUCACUCAACCAGAUUUAUCAAACUUUUGAUCGCCAAAUACUUAUUUUACCCUCUAAAUUAUUACUACUUUUAUCUUCUAUUUCUUUUUUAUUUUUUUGAUUUUUCAAUAUUAUGAUUUUUUUCUCUUUUUAAUCAACAUUAUGGACUUACCUAUAAAACAAAAUUAUUUUAUUUAAAAAUAAAAAUAAAAAAUUAUUUUUCUAGCAUAUAUAAUGUCUAUGCUUAAAUAAUUUUUAAUUUUUAAAAUUUAUAAAUAAAAUUUAUUUAUUCUAAGAUAAGUCCAUAAUAUAAAUUAAAAAGAGAAAAAUUAUUAUAUUAAAAAGCUAAAAAGAAUUAUAAAAAAAAAAAAGAUAAAAGUUGAUAAUUUAAAGGGUAAAAUAGGAUUUGGCUAAAAAUUUAAGAAAUCUAGUUGAGUGAUCUUCUGAAUGCUAUUGACAUAAUUAAGUGACUUUGUUGUUACAAACGAAAGAAAAAUGAUAUAUUGGUAGAUAAUUUCGGAUAAUUGAGUGAUCACAUGAGUAAUAACUCUUAAAUUACAGUGAUCAUGUUAAAGAUGUCGGCUGCGUCGUGAUGAUAUUUUUCAUAGUGGCAAACCAGGGGCGACAUUUAUCACUUUAAUAUGUGGUGUGGGGCUUCUUCUAAUUAAAAAAAAAAACAAAAAACUGGGAGAUCUUAGAGUAUUAAUUAACUAUUAAGAAUGAGUUGGGAAUUGGGAUGUCUAUGAAGUCAUUCAUGCCGGUACUACUUUUUGCUUUGGUUGUCUUAUUUUAGUUCUUUUCUUAUUCAAAUUAUGGUAAUUUCUCUUAAAGCACAAUAACUCUUUGCUGAGGAUUGCUUUGUUUCUUUUUGUCAAAACUUUAAAAUGAAAAGGGAGAGGGAUACUUGUUCUGCUACGUGCUAAUUUGCUAUAGCAAAUGAAAGAUAGUGAUUAGAGAUCUUUUGGAGUUCCAAUAUAAUCAUUCCACCUGCAAAUUUGGAUAAUGAAUAAGCACUGGUUUCCACUAAUUUAUUUGUGGUGGUCUCCACUAAUAUUUUUGGAAAACAACUCUUCUGUAAAUUGCAAUUUAAUGUUACACUACCAAGAUUUCUUAUAGUCUAGUAUAAAUCGUAUGAGAGUCUUUCAUUUUCACAAUAACUGUGAGUUGGAUUUUAUUGUUCCACUUCCCACUUCCCACUUCCCACUUCCCGCCCCCUUUUCUUUUGCCCAUAAACUAGAAAAAGUUAAAGAAAAAAACAUAGUGAUGUUACAAUCUAUAAUAAUUGGAUGGUGGAGAACUGAAUUAUUGUACAACUUUUUUUUAUCCUUAAUUUUUUUGCCAUGAUAUAGAUAUAUUUAGAGACACGUGUAAUUGAAGCUUCGAUGGUAAGCAUCAUCUACUUCCAACCAAGAGGUUGUAAGUUCGAGUCAUCCCAAGAGCAAGUUGGGGAGUUCUUGAAGAGAAGGAUGCCGAAGGUCUAUCGGAAACAGCAUCUCUACCCAGGGUAGGGGUAAAGUCUGCGUACACACUACCUUCCUCAUACCACUAGUGGGUUUAUACUGGGUUGUUGUUGUUGCUGUGAUGUAAUUGAAGCUUUAUAGCUUGUUUGGCCAAGUUUCUUCCUAGUCCAAAAGUGUUUUUUUUCAAAAAAAAAAACGAGGUAUUUGACCAAGCUUUUUUGGGGGUGAGUGCUCUUGGGAAGAAGUAGAAACACUUUUUGAGAAGCAAAGAAAAAUAACGUCUUCCCAGAAGCACAAACAGUUUUGACUUUUCUUCUUACCAAAAAUACUCUUAGCAAAAUGUAGUAUAUUCCAAAAUAAUCUUACUUGUUCUAAACCUAUAGCCUGUUUGGCCAAGCGUUUUGUUGGGCCAAAAGUGUUUUUUUGGCCAAAAGCACUUUUGGCAAAAAAUUGAGGUGUUUGGCCAAGCUUUUGGAAGGAAAAAAGUGUUUUUGAGGAGAAACAGAAGCAGUUUUUUAGAAGGAGAAAAAAGUAGCUUCUCUCCAAAAGCACUUUUCUGAGAAGCACUUUUGAGAAAAAUACACUUAGAAGCAGUUUUCAAAAGCUUGGUCAAACAAUAAUUACUGCUCAAAAGUGAUUUUCAAAUUAAUUAGCCAAACACAAACUGCUUCUCAUCAAUAGUAAUUUUUUAAAAAGUAUUUUUGAGAAAAACACUUCUCAAAAUAAGCUGAUAUUAGAAGCUUGGUCAAACAGGCUACUAAUACUUAGGAUAUUGAUCUAUAAAUAUUUUCCUUAUUUUUUAGGAUAUCUUUCUAAUAUAUAGUGACUUCUAGAGUGAAUGUUUAUAUAUUUAUUAAAUAAUUUUUUGAUAGAUUUAAAUCAUCUUGAAAGAAUUAAAAUAUUUUUUAAUUUUAUUUUCAUAUUUUACUUAAAUAAAAUAAAAAAAUUAAUUAUUAUCUUUAAUAAUAAAUAUUUGAAAUUAUUUAUUUUCUUAUAUAGUAUUAACUAGUACUUAUUAAGUAAAUCUCUUUGUGUCCUAAUUCGUAAUUUGAUAUUUAAAAUGAAUUUUUGAAAAGCUUGGCCAGAUACAAAUUAUUACUCAAAAGUGUCUUUCAGAUUGAUUAGCCAAAUCCAAAUUGUUUCUCUCUAAAAGUACUUUUUCAAAAAAUAUUUUUGAAAAAAACACUCAUCAAAAUAAGCUAAAUUUUCCAGCUUGACCAAACAGGAUUUGUUUCCUAUGGCAGGAAAUUUUGAUCCAUUAUAGUCAAUGACAUGUCCUCUUGGUCUGCAUAAUAGCAAUGGAGGGACAUUACUGUAUGGGUCAAAAUCUUACCACAAUAGUCAAUCAAGUUGAGACCUCGCCUAAGUGGAGAAAUGGCAAGAAUCACCACGACCAACCUCAGUCCAAUCAUCGACAAUGUAUGUCAAGUAAAAACGGUACUCGAAUAACGACGAAAAGGCCGUCACGUGAGAGUACAUCGAUCAACGAACACAGUAAAGUUUCGAGAACUAUAUAUAGAAGGAGGACUUUUCCUCUCAAGGGGGCUCGGACAAUUUCCUCCUCCGAAGGAUGUAAACUGAUAUUUCUCUCUUCCUAUCAAAGAUAGGAUUGUAACAUCAAGAAAUCUAGAAUGUUCCUUUUUUUUUUAUUUCAUUAUCUCGCUAUACAUUUUUAGAUCUGAAGUUGAUUAUGAUUGGCUAAGAUUUUCCUCUUCUCAUUAUUAAUUUGUUUAGUCAAAAGGUUCAACACUUUUUGGUCAAACAAUUUGGCGCCGUCUGUUGGGAUUUCUUAGCCAAAUUUCCUAGUCUCCUUCAGGUCCGAAACCGGUGAAACAUAAUCACCCACCAGAAAGAAUGGUAAGUAAACCUCACGUGCUAAUCUAGAUCAUUAUGCAACAUGAAAGCAAAAGUCACAAUCAAUAUCUACGCAAAGCUCACAAGAGGAGACGGUACCUGCUGCGCAAUCCUAUAGAAAAUUGGACACAUCUUGCCCUACUCUGACAUCCCCAUCCCACACACCGGAUGGCCCACGAGCAAGAUAAGGCAAACCCAACCCACGCGGAGCCAGGGCAUCCAAAAAAAGGGAGAAAAGAGAGUUGAAUACGGCUGCUGAAUCUACAAACCACCAUUCCAUCAACCACUUAAACGCCAGGCAGAGUGAACAACGCUAUAAGGCUACCCUCGUUCAUCGACUCAUCGGAUCGAGGUAAGGAAAAUCUCAUCUUGGUUUACCUUCUGUUGUUUGCUUAAACAUGAAUACAAGUGACACAUGGACAAGCGAGCAAAGAAGCAUUCCAACUGGAGAGUGGAAGAACUAUUACAAAAUAACUUGAAUAUCGCCCAUCUCAGAAAUUUCAACUCCUGGAAAAUGACGUCCCCUAAAUCGUACUCCUUCUCAUCACCCAAGUGUUGUCCCGAUUGGGUUCUCUCGGGAAGGUUUUGAAAUAGGCAAUGAGGUAGACGUCACCAAGUUCAAAGGAUAGUUCAUCGCCCUGCCUAUCGGCGAGCUCUCCAGGUCAAACGAUGAAGGGGUUAAACAGGGAAGUUCCAAUAUAUGCAUAAAACGAACAUUAGCAAGAUAGCAACGUUCUAUACUCUCCGACAUCACACUCUCCAAUACAGACAAAAUUAAGCAAAAUGGGACUCACCCAGGAAACACAAAAGUUAAGCAAAACUGGGACUCCCCCAGAUAACACCCAAAACUCUCCAAAAAACUGGGAAUCACGAUGGGUUAACAUUUCGACGACAGCUCGAAAUAACACCCUUCGGGCCAAAGACCAUCGCCAAAAAAAAAGAGUUCGACCUCGCUCAAAUUAUAAUGGGUUAACAUUUCGACGACAACUCGAAAUAAUACUCCUACGGCCAAGGACCAUCGCCAAAAAAGAAGAGUUCGACCUCGCUCGAAUUAUAAUGGUUAACAUUUCGAUGAUAGCUCGAUAUAACACCCCUACGGCCAAAGGCCAUCGCCAAAAAAAAAAAGAGUUCGACCACACUCGAAUUGCAAUAGGUUAACAUUUCAACGACGACUCGAAAUAACACCCCUACGGCCAAGGGCCAUCGCNNNNNNNNNNNNNNNNNNNNNNNNNNNNNNNNNNNNNNNNNNNNNNNNNNNNNNNNNNNNNNNNNNNNNNNNNNNNNNNNNNNNNNNNNNNNNNNNNNNNNNNNNNNNNNNNNNNNNNNNNNNNNNNNNNNNNNNNNNNNNNNNNNNNNNNNNNNNNNNNNNNNNNNNNNNNNNNNNNNNNNNNNNNNNNNNNNNNNNNNNNNNNNNNNNNNNNNNNNNNNNNNNNNNNNNNNNNNNNNNNNNNNNNNNNNNNNNNNNNNNNNNNNNNNNNNNNNNNNNNNNNNNNNNNNNNNNNNNNNNNNNNNNNNNNNNNNNNNNNNNNNNNNNNNNNNNNNNNNNNNNNNNNNNNNNNNNNNNNNNNNNNNNNNNNNNNNNNNNNNNNNNNNNNNNNNNNNNNNNNNNNNNNNNNNNNNNNNNNNNNNNNNNNNNNNNNNNNNNNNNNNNNNNNNNNNNNNNNNNNNNNNNNNNNNNNNNNNNNNNNNNNNNNNNNNNNNNNNNNNNNNNNNNNNNNNNNNNNNNNNNNNNNNNNNNNNNNNNNNNNNNNNNNNNNNNNNNNNNNNNNNNNNNNNNNNNNNNNNNNNNNNNNNNNNNNNNNNNNNNNNNNNNNNNNNNNNNNNNNNNNNNNNNNNNNNNNNNNNNNNNNNNNNNNNNNNNNNNNNNNNNNNNNNNNNNNNNNNNNNNNNNNNNNNNNNNNNNNNNNNNNNNNNNNNNNNNNNNNNNNNNNNNNNNNNNNNNNNNNNNNNNNNNNNNNNNNNNNNNNNNNNNNNNNNNNNNNNNNNNNNNNNNNAAAGAAGAGUUCGACCUCGCUCAAAUUAUAAAGGUUUAACAUUUCGACAACUGCUCGAAAUAACACCCAUACGACCAAGGGUCAUCACCAAAAAAGGAGAGUUCGACCUCGCUCGAAUGAUAAUAGGUUAACAUUUUGAUGACAACUCAAAAUAACACCCCUACGGCCAAGGGCCAUCGCCAAAAAAAAAAAGAGUUCGACCUUGCUCGAAUUGCAAUGGGUUAAUAUUUCGACGACAGCUCGAAAUAACACCCCUACGGCCAAGGGCCAUCGCCAAAAUAGAAGAGUUCGAUCUCGCUCGAAUUGCAAUGGUUUAACAUCUCGACGACAUCUCGAAAUAACACCCCUACGGCUAAGGGCCAUCGCCAAAAAAGAAGAGUUUGACUACGCUUGAAUUAUAAUGGGUUAACAUUUUGAUGGCAUCUCGAAAUAACACCCCCUACGGCCAAGGGCCAUAAAAAAAGAAUAGUUCGACCUCGCGCGAAUUGUAAUGGGUUAACAUUUCGACGACAGCUCGAAAUAACACCGCUAAGGCCAAGGGCCAUCGCCAAAAAAAAAGAUUUCGACCUCGAUCAAAUUGCAAUGGGUUAAUAUUUCGACGACAGCUCGAAAUAACACCCCUACGGCCUAGGGCCGUCACCAAAAAAGAAGAGUUCAACCUCGCUCGAAUUGCAAUAGGUUAACAUUUCAACUAGCUCGUAAUAACACCCCUACGGUCAAGGGCCGUUGCCAAAAAAGAAGAGUUCGACCUCACUCGAAUUAUACGGGUUAACAUUUCAAUACUAGCUCAAAACAAUAUCCCUACGGCAAAGGGCCAUCGCAAAAGGAAAAUUUCAAACUCAUUCGAGCCCAAUAAUGCCUUUGCAGCUAUCUACUGUCAUCGUGCUUUUUUGCUUCUAAUUAUUAAAAAACUGAUUUCGCUACAAACUCCAAGUUCUACCUCGCUCGGAUGUGUAAAAAAAAAGAGAAGCGACUUCUCCCGAAUCAACGAUAGUUUGAUCCCACAUGACUCAAGUCAAGACUAACUUCGUCCAGAACAACAAAAUUAUAUAAACUCAUUUGAGUCAAAGAUGAAUCUGCUUAAAGCAAUAAGUCACCAGUCGAUUCCACCCCAAACAAGAGAAUCAAAUGAGACUCCAUCCGGACUCACGAUGAAGUCCUACUCAGUCUGGUUAAAAUUGGUUUCCCUGAAAAAUCAGGAAUCCACCAUAUGAAGAUCCGACAAUUUACGCCAAAGAUAUGUAAAGCAAAAGAGUGAGAGAUACAAAGGAUUUACAACGAUGAAAACUCCUUUAUUUAAACAGUUGCGCAAAAUGGCCGCAGAUUAUACACGGCUAAAACCGAUCCAGUACAAAAUAAAUAAAAAAAGAAGAAGGCAACAACACAAACAACGACAAACAAGAAAAGACAACAAAGAACAAAUAUUUUACUCGGCGCCAUCACUGUCGUCCUCCUAAUCUCCAUCUCCAUGAAACUCCCCCUCAGCAUCAACAUCCUCACAGGCCUCCGGUGUCGCGGGACCAUAACCACAGUUAACACGAGCCUAUUGUGCCUUCGCCCGAGCUCUUUCAUAGUGGCCUCGAAAACAUUGCUCACUUCCCACAAACUCUUAUAUAUGUCCCGCUGGGCUUCGGCAUGAACUAAGACUUCGUGCAAAUGACGAGGAACAGCGGUGGAGGUGGAUUCAACUUGGGCCAACAAUUGUGCCUUUUCGGCCUCAAGAACAGCGACCCAAUCUCCCAAAGUUGAAGCUUCCCGGUCAAUGUUGCCAAUACGCUCUUCGAGCCUCGCCUCCCUGAGCGUAGUCGUCGCCCUCUCAGACUCCAACUCGGAUUGAAGGACACAGAUAGCAUCCUCUAAAGCCGCCGGUCUGGCCGAAGACGACGCCCAGGCACUCUCGACACUCUCCAAUUCGGAGACCUUUCUCUCCAGCUCGGCUAAUUUCCCCAUCCACUUGGCACUCAAAGCCUCGACUCUGAUGGCAUUAAGAUCCAACUCGGACUGCAACGACCGCACCUUCGUCUGAAGAUGCUCGCACUCUACGGCGACCCCUUUGCGCAAUUCAAGUUUUCGUCCUUUACACGAAGUUGCUCCUCGAGCUCGCUAUUCCUGCAAAUAGCUUGCAUCAGCUCCUGAUCCCUCUUCUCCAGUUCCUCACCAAGAGAUCGAUCACCGGCAUUCGCCCUCAGCCGUUCAUGCAUCUCACGGCACUUGUUGCGGUAGUGCCGGUACUUCUCCAACAUCAUUAGAAAAAUUUUGGCUCGAGUGUCAGCCCUGCGAGCACUUUCAAUCUCCACCAUAUACCUCUGGAAGACGAAAAGAGUUGGUAAAGGUCAAGGCCGCCAAAGAUAAAAAGAAUGCAAAAAGAAAGAGGAAAAACUUACCCUCAGGCCUAUAGCAGCCACUUCAUGCAUCAAAUCGACUUCAUUGACGUACCGAAGAGCCUCACACUCGGCGGCAAUGCACAAAAGGUCAAACUGUGGUACCAAGUCCUCCGUAUCUCCCAGAAGGUUAAUCUCUGACGAGAUUUCAAGUAUACGGGUCGGGCCUCCCGCGUGUACCACCGUACGAGUAAGGCCCUCUUCGAAUAUCCUGACAUCAUCAGGAUCAAGAUCGGAUUCAGAUUCGUAGUCAUCGACCAGGACACAUUUUCCCCUUUCUAUGGCCGAGGAAUAAGCACGACCCGAUCCAGAAGAUGAUGGCCCGCCCAAAGUAGUAACAGCGGCCUCGGGAUUCUGACUCCCCGUCGCAGUAGUCUGUUGGUCAAUCAUAACUGCCGGAAUCUCUAUCGACGGGUUGGUCAUGGUAACCGGCUCUACCUCUGCAGACGGGUUAGCAUCGUCCCCCAUCUCAGACUUUGUCAAGGGGAUGCCACCUUCUAAACAUACCACGACUGAAGGAGCCAUUUCGAACUCCACUCGUCAUCUCUUUGACGGCGCUUCCCCGUCCUCAUCAUGGGAAGACUCCCCCGUUGAGCAGGUAGUAGGAGUCGGAGCCCCAGAUUGAGAAACAAUUUCUGUGCACACGACUACGGCCGUAGAUUCAACUUGAGCAGCCCUUACCGUAGGUCGGACAGCAGACCUUGGUACGGGCCGAGAAGAAGACGUCGGCUGACGAAAUGCAAAUGGAGGAGCCCUCGCCCUUCUCAUUCUCCCUAAUAACGAUAAAAGUCGUAUAAGCAACAAAUCCAAAUUGCAAAGUGAAAAAUAGAAACUGCGGCAAGACUACUCACCAGUAAGGGGCUUACGUCCAUAUUUCUCAUAGAAGGACGACCAUUCACGAACUCCCGCCGUAUGAGGAAGUAUGGCAUUCAACCAUUCGCAGAUAUCGUCAACAGGCGCAAGGGGUAGUCUCGCGGCUGCAAAAGCAAAAACAGUUCAAUACUGCCCAAAGAAAAGCAGUUGACUAUUAUUCCGACAAAAGAUACAAAAAUUUACGUGUAAAGUUCUAUCUCUCGGGGAACCCUGCAGAAUCUGUCACAAGGUGCUCGGUCCGCACAUAAAAGUAGUUUUCGUAUAAAUGAUGAUUGGCUAUAUCAUCCAUCUUCACUACCAGACUCUUCGUCCCCCGAUGGCGUAUGUGAAUCAUCGUGCCUCGAAUGAGUUGAGGGGCGAAAAUGUUGAGCAUGUGUCUCAGAGUGAUCUCCCGACCGGCAAGCUCCACGAACUUGAGUAGCAUGAGGAACAGUUUAUAUAGGUACGACGAAAGUUGAGCCGGACACACCUCGUAGAAAUGGCAAAAAUCUACCACCAAGGAAGGGAGAGGAAGCGUAUACCCGACAAUAAAAGGAUGCGUAGAACGCACAGUAUCCCGGGCGGUAGAAAUGUAUGAUAGCAUCUCGACGGGGUGCGGAAUACCCCACCUAACCUUCAGCUCCGCAAUCGCCGCCUCAUUCAUAAUAGAGGAAAUAGGUUCUGGUUUCUCUCCGGUAGGGCUAUUGAAAUCGGUCCAGGGCUUCCCGGGACGAGGCAAUAUUUCGGCCGCCGUUGGAACCUCCUCAUCCUCUACUACUUAUACUCCUACGGGAACAAGAACAUCAUUUUUCGGUAUCGAAAUUGCAGCAAGAUCGUCAGCGCGGGAAGAAGAACCACCAUUUGUCUCAAUUGAAUAGAAUGAACGAACAAAGGAAGCAAGAGGGAAGACGAAGAUGCCAAUUUCUGACCAACAAGAGAGAAUCGAAAAUCUGAAGUAUCGGGGAAGAAGAAAAUUCGCAAAAUUCUUUUGAUAAAUCAAGAAAGUGUGCCAAUAGAUUGGUGUUUUCUCCCUAUUUAUAAGGAUAUAAAUUCCCCAAGCGGGAAACCCAAGAGUCGCCAAUCAACACUGAUAAGGCAUGAAACGGUUCAAUCCCCAGGAAACGUGUGUCAUAAUGGCAGUAACCACAAAUGACGUUUCAAAUCAACGCAUCAUUUUGACUCCAAAUGGACACGACGAAACAAAGGCAUCAUUGAAGCGUUGCGCCAUCGCCUCGAUCUAAAAACCUCGUUCAAGGCAUGAACAGUCAGAUUUCUCCUAGCCUUCGAAUCUACAAAGUUCGUCUGCCAAGCCCGCCAAGGGACGACCUCGACGGACGGGAGGGACUAACUGUAUGGGUCAAAAUCUGACCACAGUGGUCGACCAAGCUGGGACCUCGCCUAAGCGGCAAAAUGGCAAGAAGCACCACGACCAACCUCAGAUCAAUCAUCGACAGUGCAUGUCAAGUAAAAACGGUACUCGAAUAAAGACGAAAAGACCGUCACGUGAGAGUACGUUGGUCAACGAACACAGUAAAGUUCCGUGAACUAUAUAUAGAAGGGGGGCUCGGACAAUUUCCUCCUUCGAAGGAUAUAAACUGAUAUUUCUCUCUUCAUAUCAAAGAUAGGAUUGUAACAUCAAGAAAUCUAGAAUGUUCCUUUUUUUAUUUCAUUAUCUCGCUAUACAUUUUUAGAUUAUGCUUGGCUAAAAUUUUCCUCUUCUCAUCAUUAAUUGGUUUAGUCAAAUGGUUCAACACUUUUUGGUUAGAUCAUCCUUUUGUUUUAGGAGUAUAUGACAAAAUGUCACUCCAAUUAGCUCUUAAACAGCCAUUAUAUAAAAUUACUUCAAACUGUGAAAUGAAAUGCAAGAAAAGUCAGAAAAGUUCUCUUAAACUGCCGUUACUCUUGGAGACUAUCAAUUCGUGCUGAAACUGAUCAGUAGUGUAAAAUAUUUAUGUCGAAAAAUCUCAAAAAUAUCAACAAUUUGUUGAAGAAUUAACAUUGCAUUGUAGAAUUUAAGUUUGGACUCCAAUCUCUUAAGUAAUGUGUAGUAGUAUGUUUUUGCACUCUCUUGUAUUGUAUACGUUCGCCUAAAUAAUUAAUACGGAUAGAAACUUAUUCUGGAUGAGGCCUUUAUUCGGUUAUAGUCGGUAAACUUAGGGAUGUACAUGGACUGGGUUGGAUCGGUUUAUAUUAAAAUCGAACCAAACCAACUAUAUUGAUUUGCAUUGGUUCGGUUUUGUCUGAUUUUUCGGGUUUUUUCGGGGGGGGGGAGGGUUGUAACAUGAAUAAUUUGCAAUCUUACUUUGUUAAUUUUUUUAUAAGUAAAUAUAUGUUUAGUAAAAAUUUAAAAAGUUGACAAACAUAUGAUCUAUUAAAAUAUUUUUAUGGAAAAAUUUUGUUAAUUACACAUGAUAGUUACUUUUUUUAUUCGUCUGACAAUAAUUUUUCACUGAUGUAUACUUUCAAGGUUAAAUGAAUUUAAUAAUUAAAUAUAAAAAUCAAUAUGAUACCUAAUUAAUGAUAUAUUUUAUUUAAUUUUAGAUUAUCGAAAUACCAUUUCAAAUUCAAAAAAGAUAUAAGAAUUUAAUAAAUCUUGACAUAUGAACAUGGAUGAUGGAAGAACAAAGAGAUUGACGCAUUUCAAUAACACUUGAUAAGAAAGUGAUCAUGUAACCCAUUAUUUGAGGUUAAUAAAAAUGGAGUACUUUAUAUUCUAUUAAAUAUUACAUCCCAUAAGAGAAUCCCAAAUAUUUCUAGAAUUUUUGUAAAGAAAAUUCUAUAUAAAGUCUUAAGAGUAUAUAUAAAAAUGAUAGGAGUAUAUUUAUAUGUCGGUUUGGUUCGAAUUUUUUUACUCAAUACCAAACCAAUCAAAUCAAACCUAAUCUGGUUUUUUAAUCGGUUUGGUUUGACUUUUCGGUUUGGUGCGGUUUUUCGGUUCGAUUUGUACACUCCUAGGUAAACUUUUGUGACUUUACGAUCAUAGCAAAUAAGAUGGGACUUUUGGUAUAUAUAUAUAUAUAUAUAUAUAUAUANNNNNNNNNNNNNNNNNNNNNNNNNACAGAAAUUAACUAAAGUUUUUUACAAAAUAUAUACAAUUCGGUCAAAAUCUACAAUAUAUCUACAACUUAAAUACAAACUUUUUGUAUAGAAUCUGGUCAAAAACUAUAAUUUACAUACAAUUUAUAUAUAAUUUAUAUAUAAUUAUGUUAAUUAUAUAUAUUUUGUAUGUCAUUUCUACAUCCGACAUACAAAAUAUAUACAAUUUGCUUAUGUCUUUUUUUCGAGAUUCAAUCAGAAAUUUCAACCAAAAUCACUUCGAAUCUUCACCAAAUUCUCUCAAAAUUGAGAUACAAAUCUCAAGAAUAUUCCUAAUCAUUUGCCACAACACUCAAUCCAAGCAAAUAACAAUUUCAUCAAACUUGAUUUUCGAAUUCAAAGCUUUAAAACUUUUAAUGGCUUUCAAUGGAGUUUCUUUCCACUACCACAUAUGUCAAUGAAUAGCGAAUAUAAUAAUAUAAUAAACAAAAAUAUAUGACUAGUAGUAUAUAAUUGAACAUUACAAAAAUGAAUAGCGAAUACAAUAAUAUAUAAACAAAAAUUUAUGACUAGUAGUAUAUAAUUGAACAUUACAAAUUAACCCAGAUCAGCAGUUAUUCAAAGUUUCCGUGAUGCUACACAAAGUUAUCAACUUAAGCUUCCAUCGGUAAGAAAGUUCAUAUAAAAAUGGUACAACAAUGCCAAGUACAGAAAUAUAUAUUUGUAUCUAGAAUUUUAAGUAUUAAGAAGAUUUCUCCUAUUUAAUUAAAUAAGAAACAACCUAAGAAGAAGAAAAAAAGUAACUUUGUAUAAGAAACAUCGAAAUAUUGUAUCCUAAAUAUCUACGUAUGUGGGAUUGAGUUGGGUGUAAUGGAGGAAGAAGAGGGAGAAAAAGGAGAAGAUUGGACUCUAAUAUAUUAUUUUGUAUAUAAUUGAUAAAUCGUAUAUCAACUUGUAAUUAAGUUAAAACUGCAAUAGUGAGGAUAAAUAAGUUUUAAAAAUAAUAUAGAUAGGUAAAAAUCACAAAUAAGAUUAAUGUGACAAAAAUAAUUUUAAGACUAUACUAUUAUAAUAAGAAAAAUCAGUGAACAAUAAUACAUGAUAUUAUCUUCAAUAUGGUGAAGCCAAAAGGGAGACAAUUUUGCUGUCUAAUCAAAUUCGAAAUAAACGCUUAAGGCAUUAGUGUGCAAGUAGAGAGCAUUCCAAAAAUAAACCGCAGGGAGCGUAUGAAUACUUGAAUUUUAGCUUUUGAGUCGGUUAUGAGUUAUGGUCAACAACAAUACGAAUUACAAACUUAAAGAUUGUAGAAAUAAAGUGUUAUCGGCAAACGGAUUUGUCAAUAAAGAAUCAGAUGUAGGUCGAACUAAGAAUGUUGACUGUGGCAAGGAACAAAUGAAAUAUUAGUAUAUGAUAACCAAGAAGAUUAUUGAUGGAUUCUUAUUUUCUAUAUAUCUUCACUGCAGUCUAGCUCAUUAAUUCUAACUUUGACAGGACUGACUAUAUGCACGUGAACAUGAUCAUGAGGAUUCUAAUGAGAAGAAUGGCAUUCCCGAAAUGCUCUUGGAUCUUACUAUCUUUCUCACCAAUAUUCGCCAUUUUAUUUCAUCCUUCUUCUUCUGUCUCCUCCUCCUCUGCUUGAAAUUCCUGUUCAAACGUCAAUCUUUCACUCAAUUAAUGCUCAAGGAGGAAGUGGUCGACUUUGCUCUCGUUUUGGUAUAAAGGAAGUUAUUUUUCAAAAAAAAAAAUUGAUAUUUUUAUAAGUAAUUCUUUUUUGGUAUUUGAUUAUCAAAAGAUAAAAAAAGGGCAGUACGGUUGCACUAAGCUCCCGUUAUGUGUGGGGUUUGGGAAAGGGCCAGACCACAAGGGUCUAUUAAGAGGUUAUUUCCACGGCUCAAACUCGUGACCUUCUAGUCACAUAACACCAACCUUACCAAUUACUUUUCCGAAAAAAUAUUUUUCAUCACAAAGAAAAAAUCCCACACUUAUGGAUGGAAGUUAUUUUCCUUUAUAACUGUCUUUAACUUUAACUUCAUAUUAUCUAUUUCAUCUAACACUUGCACACAAAUAUUAAUCUUUAAUAUUCAAAAUUUCAUCAAAACAUUUAUUUCGAUUAGCUAAUAUUAUUAUUAAUCUUUAAAAUAUAUAAUUUUUCAAAAAAUAUUUUUCAUUCACUAAGCAAAUAUUCUACUGGUAUCAGGCAAAAGACAAGCCCACAAACCUGCAUAAAGGAACUCUACAAAAAUCCGAAUCAGCACAGAGGCGAGAAUGCAGUUCCAAAACUUGCCACAUUCUCUUGCAGUUUUUGCAGCCACCAUAAACUCUCAUCUUACAUCCAGCAAAGUGACGAAUGAGCAAUUCUAGCCCUUUACAUGCUGAAUAUUUACAAGGUGUUUGAUCUUUUUUCAAGACCUUAUCGCAUGGACCAAUGGUUCGACAACCAUCUUUGCAUAUGUGAACUAGAGCCUCCAUUGCCUCGUAUAGUUGCAUAUACACUUUUCUCUCGUUGAUUUUUCUCAUUCUUUCCUUCUUCCUCUGCAAGCAAAUUAGAAAAGAGUUCAACUACAGAACACUGACAUGACAGUAUAAGGAGAUUAUGUUAUUAAUUAUCAGGUAUAACUACAAUUAGUUGUCUAUAAAAAGUGGAAUUAUAUAGUAAUAACCUAAAAAUAAGACAGAUUGAUUUAAGCUAUAUUCACCACAGCGUAAACAAAUUUUACACUAUAACGCAAUUUAACAGGUUAUAGUAGUAGGUAAUUACUCUACUUUCUGAGUUACUAUAGCAUAAUAGAUAUAAAGAAUGACACGCAUGGGCGAAGCUACAUGUUAUAAAGGGUGGUCAACUGACCACCCCUCGUCCGAAAAUUAUACUGCGUAUAUAGGUAAAAUAUUAAUAUUUUAGGGGUAUAUAACAUAUAUUGAACACUCUUUCUUGGAGAUUUUUUUUCACUUCUUUCAAGUUUGAACACUCUUGAGUAAAUUCAUGGUUUCGCCACUGAUGACAUGUUAUUAUAAGUCAUUGUGAUGGUGUAAGCAAUUGAUAUAUUGCGAGUGUGCAAAACUUAAACUACCUAAUAAAACAGGUUAAAAGACACUGAUAGAAUGAACAAUUUUUUGACGGUCAAUGUAAAUCCAGUUAGAGAGAAAAAAAACAUAAACAGGAUUGACAUCAUUUAGGAUUCAACUUACAAUAUCCUCAUCAGUUACAGAUUUAAAAAUCUGUUUUUCAAGCACAGGGUGGCUUUUUUUCAUGGCUUCCCAUCCUUGUGAGGAAGAUAUAGCCUUGAAAUGUUUCAACAUAAAACGGUGACAAAAGAGGCUAAGGCGAGGGGCAUCACAUAAAAGUGCAAGCUGAAAGAUGUCAACCACAUUGUCCGUAGUUAUCAAUCCUCGCUCCAGCAGCUGCCGCUCACAUUCUCGCUUUAGAUGGGGGACUACAUAUGCAUGUGAGAGCAUCAAUAGAUUCAGUGCAUGUUCCUGCAUUUUGUCUUCUUCAUAGCUGCAUAGUGCAAUUGACAUUUAGAGAUAAUCAUGAAAAGGCAGAUGCAUAGUGAUAUAUUUGAAGGAGAAUCAUUUUUACCUGGAAGAAUACAAGAAUCGGAUGAAAACUUGAACAGAUUCGGGUGGAACCCCACGUAUAGAGAUUGAUCGUCGAUGGCCUCGUGACUGUUUCGAGUUCAACAUGCUUCUGAAUACAGGAGAAGACAUACCCUGAAAUUAAAGAAUCAAUGUGUAGACUUUCUUGAGUUUAAGUUGCAUACAGAGACGAUAUAUAAUUUAUUUACACAAUUAAGUGUAAGAAUCUACCCUAAAGAUGACUGGAAUUACACUAAUGAGUGUAAGAUUUAGAUUAAUUCGAACAACUAGGAUUGAAUCUCGAAUUUACCAGAAUAGUAGCAUGUGCAUAGAUGAUGCCACCAUUAUCUGUAUUAAUUGAGAGAUCAGCUCUGUAACCUUCAUCAAAGAGGCAAUCCCACGUAUUCUUCGUAGCACUAAAAAUGGAGCAGUGUCGUCUUCUUCGCAUUGGUGAUAUGAACCUGCUCUCAUACAAGUUAGUUGGCAAUGGAGGCGGAUUUGGUACUGUUCUUUCACAAGGAAAUUCCUCAUUCCUCCGAUCCAUUUGUUGAUCUUGCCUUCUGCAACAUUAUGAAAAGAAACAACUGCAGUUAAUGGUGAGUUGCUUAACGACAAGUGUUUACAGAAACAACCCCGUCCCUCGGUGUGAACCGAUGGCCACGUUGCUUUAGCCGAAUGUGUCAAGUCGUGCCCUUGGCACUAUUACUUUGAAAAGAUUAGAAUGCUCAAAAAAAGCCUAGUGUCGUAUACACCAUAGGAUAUUAGUCCUAAUGAUUUGUUUAAAAUUAGGCAGCAGGUGGAUUAGUAAUCCGUAGGUGAAACUCUUGAAUUUAUGAAAGACGAACAGCUAGAAAUGCAGUAACACCAAGAUGUUUUAGCUAACAAAGAGUUGUUGACCAAAAAGAUUUAGACCUUUUGUUGAACCAAUUAGAUGAGAAAAUUUUAUGUAAAUCCUAGCCAAGAAAAUUUAUCCUAGAUCUAAAAUAGAAGAUAUGAUUAAGCAAACAAUGCAAGCAUAAGAUUUAACUAUAACUUCGAGUAAAUCCCAUUAUAUAAGAAGAGGAUGAUGGUUUUCAUAAUAUUAAACAACAAUAAAGAAUACAUAGAUAAAAAUGGUCACCGAUCUUUAACAAGGUAGAACCACAUACAUUUGAUAUAAUGAGACUAACGAUAUAUAUUGAGGAUCUGAGCUUCUUUGCUUCUUCCUCCUUUGUGGGAAGAGAGAGAUGAAGAUCCCUCUUCUUCUCAGUGUAGAUUUGUUUUUCUGUGUAGAUUUGUUUUUCUUUUCUUUUUUGGCUUCUUCUUCUCACUUAGUUUAUAUACUAGGUCUUCUCGUUACCCAACAAUCAUUAAUCAUAGUACUUAAAUCGUUUGAUUAUAUUACAGGUUGACCCUUUGAAAUGCCAUAACAUUCGCGUUCUGAAUUGCGUAUCGUUAUAGCGUUGUAUGAAUACGACUUUGGCCCAAGUAACUCUUUGUCGUCUCUUUAAACGUUGAUUCUUGUCUGGUCGGAUUUUGACCCAUACAAGAGUAAGAAUCAAAUAUAAUUUGCUGUAGUAUAUAUUACCUUGUUGUGUACCAAGCUGAAGACAACACAGCCAACAAAGAUGAAGAAACUGGACUGCUUUCGAGUUACUUGGUUCACUUCCCAGUUCCCCUCUCUAAUCCACCAAGAUUUUUUGUAAUGGUAGAAAUUAUGUACUACACAUCAAAUAUAAUAUGCAUUGCAGCUGUCAAAUGCCAGCUUCUUCUUAUAACUAUUAAAAGCUCGAGCUCAAAUGAUUGUUGGGUUGAUUAUUUAAAGGCAAAAGGAACGAUCCAAUUUGAUUUGGUGAACAAGUUGAGACUACAAGUUAUAUGUAAGACUUUAAUGAUAUGAUAUCCGUGUCAGAUCAAAUGCAAUGCCAAUAUUUUGGUAUCUCUGGCCCUGUCGAGUAUGUUAAACGUGCGGUGUUUUAAGCCAUCAGUGGUCAAUUUCCUUUGUAUUUUUCUGUAUUUUGUUUUUUUCAUUACAAUCCAAAUUCAGUUGUUGCACGCGAUUCACGCCUUUGCUCUCUCGCAAUUAUUACACCUACCAACACACUGUUCUUUCCAAAUUAAGAAGUAGUAUGAUUUUAUUUGAUUUGAUAACAGCUGGUUAGAUCAAUAAAUACCUCUACUUAUCACUUGCUAUCUUUUAAUCACAAACUAAAUAUUAAAAAAUUUGUUAAAUUAUCGCGAAAAUCCCCUGUUUUUCGGCUUGGAGUUAGCUAUACAUUGUUGCAAAUAGAUUUAAAAUUUGUAACCAAAGAAAUUAAUGUCUUUAUUUUCCAAACAAUUGGGUCAUUGCCUUUUAGGAGGAGUACAAAACUUGCAUUUGGAAUGUACAUAUUCUUUAAAAGCACUAUGCAGACCACCAAAGGGCUCGAAAGCCCUGGGAAUGAAAAAAUAAUGGCAGAGAGUGAUUCCCCUUCCAUGAGCUUUACGUGGUGCGAAUCCAAAUUAAUCGCGACCCUAAUACGAAUACCUUACAACGGGGUGCGAACCAAAAAAUAAAGCACAAAAGAGUACAAGGAAACAAAAAAGACGUAGAUUAUCUUGGUGGAAUGAAAAAGAUUGGUGAGAUUAUCAAUAUCAUAGGCACAUCACAUAGGCUUGAAAACAUACGAGACUUGGAGAAAGAAUGAAUAGUAUGCCUACAUCUAAAUACUUUCUGUUGGGUGUUUCUUAAUUUCAAGGGAUAUAGUUAAUUUAAAACGAAAUAAUAUUCCAAUCGGUGGACGGAGAAAUAACACAGCAAUGUGCUUAUGAGCUAAAACCAAGCGAACUAAAUGACUAGACUAUUAUAGCAUGUGCAAAUAUAUGCGAAAAAAACUUCACCUACUUGGCAAUAGAUAAAACAGUGAUAAACCAUAUAUAUAUAUUGAACAAAAACUUAAAGCAAAACUAUGCUCAUGAUCAGCAGUUAAAAUGGGCAGUCAACAGACUAAUUGUUUGAAAGAGCAGCAUUGUUUCUAUGCACUGAAAUUGAUGUAAACUACAAGAAGUUGCUUUACAAGCUUGAGCAUGACAUCCUAAGCCCCAGAUACUUUUGUUUCUUCAAUACAAAGAAAACUAGGGAAAUAGAAGAAAAGCUGGUAUCUUACAACUGUGUUAGUGAUGCUACAAUGCACCAAGAAUGGUCACUUCUUUUCCUCCUAGUUGAGGCAAGAGGUUUUUGUGCUACCACUUAGAGUGAGUUACUAUGAACAGCUCCUCCUUCAAGUGAUUGUACAAAAUAUCUGGCACCACUACUUCAUGAACUUC